rnacentral:misc_RNA from 1 species
GUAACAAGGUCUCCGUUGGUGAACCAGCGGAGGGAUCAUUACCGAGUACUACACUCAUAACCCUUUGUGAACCAUUAUACCUGUUGCUUCGGCGGCGUCCCUCGCGGGCGCCCGCCGGUCUCAUCAGAAUCUCUGUUUUCGAACCCGACGAUACUUCUGAGUGUUCUUAGCGAACUGUCAAAACUUUUAACAACGGAUCUCUUGGCUCCAGCAUCGAUGAAGAACGCAGCGAAACGCGAUAUGUAAUGUGAAUUGCAGAAUUCAGUGAAUCAUCGAAUCUUUGAACGCACAUGGCGCCUUCCAGUAUCCUGGGAGGCAUGCCUGUCCGAGCGUCGUUUCAACCCUCGAGCCCUCGUGGCCCGGCGUUGGGGAUCUGCCACGGCAGGCCCCGAAAUACAGUGGCGGACCCGUUAGGCCCUUCCUUUGCGUAGUAGCAUUAGCCUCGCAUCGGGAGCCGGCGGGCUCUCCUGCCUCUAAACCCCCCAACAAGCCCGCUCCGGCGGCACCAAGGUUGACCUCGGAUCAGGUAGGAAUACCCGCUGAACUUAAGC